rnacentral:lncRNA from 1 species
AAAAAUUUAGUGAGAUCAAUGUCUCCUGUAAGUCUGGUAAAACAGUUUGGAGAUGGGUUGAGCUCUUGAAAUUGGAUACAGUGGAGCUUUUAAUUUAAAGUAUUGCUUAGCAGAUUGAGAAUGCAGUGGUUGUUAAUUACUUAUGAUUUAGGGUAACUAUGCACCAGUCAGUUCCCUCUUAAAUAAAAGCUACAAUGCUAUAUACGAUAUUUGGUGUAGUUUACAAAUGACAGCAUAGCAC